rnacentral:rRNA from 1 species
GUAGGUGGCAAGCGUUGUCCGGAAUUAUUGGGCGUAAAGCGCGCGCAGGCGGGUCCUUUAAGUCUGAUGUGAAAGCCCACGGGCUCAACCGUGGAGGGUCAUUGGAAACUGGGGGACUUGAGUACAGAAGAGGAAAGCGGAAUUCCAAGUGUAGCGGUGAAAUGCGUAGAGAUUUGGAGGAACACCAGUGGCAAGGCGGCUUUCUGGUCUGUAACUGACGCUGAGGCGCGAAAGCGUGGGGAGCAAACAGGAUUAGAUACCCUGGUAGUCCACGCCGUAAACGAUGAGUGCUAAGUGUUAGGGGGUUUCCGCCCCUUAGUGCUGCAGCUAACGCAUUAAGCACUCCGCCUGGGGAGUACGGCCGCAAAGGCUG